rnacentral:rRNA from 1 species
UACGUAGGGGGCUAGCGUUGUCCGGAUUUAUUGGGCGUAAAGAGCGUGUAGGCGGCCCGGUAAGUCCGCUGUAAAAGUCAAAGGCUCAACCUUUGAAUGUCAGUGGAUACUGCCGGGCUAGAGUCCGGAAGAGGCGAGUGGAAUUCCAGGUGUAGCGGUGAAAUGCGUAGAUAUCUGGAGGAACACCGGUGGCGAAGGCGGCAUCCUGGACCGGCAUUGACGCUGAGGCGCGAAAGCCAGGGGAGCAAACGGG